rnacentral:lncRNA from 1 species
UGAUGUUUAAAUUAUAUUAUUGACUUUAAAGGUCAAAAAAAUAAUAUAACAUUUUAGAUUAACUUAAACUAAAUUUAAACAAAAAUAAAACCCAAAUCAGAUCUAGCAAAUAAUUUCAUACGAUUUCAUCUUCCUCCAUCACACUUACUCCAUCAUCACCACCUAACCCAUUCUCGGUACAUCACCACCCAAUUGAUCGGUUAGUCACCUCCGAGAAACUUCUCACUGCCUCCGCCGUAGCUCUUUGGCGUCAAUCACCUUCACCGCCUCCGUCGUAGCUCCGAUUAAUUGAUUUGUCUAAGAAUUUGUUAUGGCCAAAUCCGAGGGCUAAAUAGAUCUAAGAAUUUGCGGCAAUAGGAUGUUUAUGUUUGGGUCGGUGAAGUUCAAGUCGGAGAUGGAGGAGGUGGUGGCUAUGGAGGUCGCCGGAAAAGUGGUGGCAGUGGUGGUGUGUUGAUUGUUAGUCGCCAUUGUUGAUUGCAGAAUGUCUGUGUAGAGAUUUGUUUUGUUUUAGGAUAAUAAAAUUUGAUUGCAGAAUGUCUGUUUCUCUUUCGAAGUUCCUCAAAUCAUAUACUUAUAAUUCUUUCGAAACCCUAGUUGUUCUGCAACGGCCAUCUCAUUCACUUAAUUUCUUGGUCUUGCAUUCUUUGAUCCUGACUUCUUCGUCCAGAAAAUAAUUCGAUUCUUGUAAUACAUUUUUGUUUUUAAAUUAAUCACUUUUCUUGAUCAACUUUUCGUAUUUUCCCCCUUGUUUUGUGUAAGUAAUUCUUGUUCUAUAAUUUGAUCGAUUUGAGGGGUGUGAUUACCUGAAUUUGCAGAGGAAGUGAAGAAGAAUAAGUUUGGAGGGAGAGAGAGAGAAGACAAGUGUUAAGUUUUGUUAGGGUUCUAAUGGAGAUGAUAAUUGGCAGAAGGCGAUUUUACCCUUGAAUGUUUUAAUAACAAAAUAAAAAAUUAUUUUUUUACCCACAUUAGCUGAGUUAUACCCCACCCAAACAGUCACGUCAGUAAUUUCUGACGUGGCAAGCUUAAUUGAAUGAAAUUGAAAAAAAUUAAUAGUUCAAUCAUCUAAUUGACAAAAUUAAAAGGUGAAUCACCGAAGUGGAAUAUAG